rnacentral:pre_miRNA from 1 species
GCUACUUGAAGAGAGAUUUCCCUGCCUGUGUUUGCAUCAUUUGUAACGCAUGGAUAAGGGCGGGCUCUCUCCAAGGAGC